rnacentral:tRNA from 1 species
GGAUACCUAGCCGUUACGUGGUAGAGCAUUCGACUGCAGAUCGAGAGGUCCCUGGUUCAAAUCCGGGUGUCCC